AUGAUUGCCUACUCUGGAUUCAGGCAGAAAUGCAAAUAUCAUGUUUACCUGGAACAUAAGAAUAAGCCUCUCUCCUCAGCCCUGGGGAGGCCUCACCUGGAGUACUGUGUCCAGUUCUGGGCUCCCCAGUACAAGAGAGACAUGGCACUCCUGGAGAGAGUCCAGCGGAGGGCUACCAAGAUGAUUAGAGGGCUGGAGCACCUCUCCUAUGAAGAAAGACUGCGAGAGCUGGGCCUGUUCAGCCUGGAGAAGAGAAGACUGAGAGGGGAUCUCAUCAACGUGUACAAGUAUCUGAAGGGGGAGUGUCAAGAGGAUGAGGCCAGCCUCCUCUCUGUGGUGCCCAGCAACAGGACAAGAGGCAACGGGCAGAAACUGAACCACAGGAAGUUCCAUCUGAACCUGAGAAAAAACUUCUUUCCUGUGAGGGUGACAGAGCACUGGAAGAGGUUGCCCAGAGAGGUGGUGGAGUCUCCUUCCCUGGAGAUAUUCAAAACCCACCUGGACGCGAUCCUGGGCAACGUGCUCUAGAUGACCCUGCUUGAGCAGGGGGGGGUUGGACUAGAUGAUCUCCAGAGGUCCCUUCCAACCUAAACCAUUCUGUGAUUCUGUAAUUGUUUCAAUGGAUCACAGCGCUUGCUUCCUCCAAGAGUAUCCCUGGCAAAAUGUACUCUGCCCCUCCUGAGACAUCACUGCUGGCUACAGUAAGUGAGAAGAUGUUGGAAAAAUCAUCCAAGGGAAGUUUCUUUCUAACUGUCUUGUGUUGAUUUAACUCCAUGAUAACUUAUACCUAGCAGGACAUAUACAUAACUGUAUUCACUUCUUAUAAUACUUUCUUUAAAAAACUUUUGAUCAUUUAUUUUUAGUUUACUACUGACAACAUGUGACCAUUAGAGUUUGAUUCCAAUAACCUUUUGAAACUGUUUCCUGCUUUCUGUCACUUGAUUAUAAUCUGCCUAAAUAUAUUCUUCAUACUAAGUCUCAGGAUUUAAAUUUUUUUCAUAUCUGAUUUUAAUACCUAUAUAACCACAUUCCUUCUUUUUAUCAAGAUACCGCUUCUGAAUCAGUGCCAUGGAAUAGUUUUCAGUAGAAGCCUUCCAUUAGAGAUGUUGGAAUUCAUUGAAUUUGAUCAUUAUUACUUCAUGGCAAAACUAUAGUUAUUUCUUGACCCAAGUAACUGUCUUGCUUAGGCUUAAGUCAAGAACAGCCUUUUCUUUUGCAGGCUGCAGAACUAGCCCUUCAAAAACCCAUCAUUUGAAUUGUUGAGAAAUUGCCUUUCAGCAAUUUGUCCUGAAAUAACAUUUUGCCAAUCCAUGUGCAACUAGUUGGAGCAGUAUACUGCUGCUUUUUAAAAAACUGUUAGACUUAGUUGCUUUUUUGCUUUUCCUUCACACUCCAUAUUCUAUAUGGUAUUUACAUUACAUAACAUAGGCAAUGAAUUGAGAUAUGUGAACUAAAAGCCUAGGCUUCUUGUAUAGUCAAUGGAAAGAGGUAAAUUGUGUUAGAGGGCCUUAAGAGCACAUAAUUUAGAAACCUGCCCACCUUGUUAAUUACAUAGAGGGCUUGGACACAGACACUUCUGUUAAAUGCCCAAGAUAGAUGGCGAAGAUGUCUGAACAUCCCCAAAGCCCUUCUUUUUUUUUUUUUUUCUUUUUAAUCAGGCUGAUUUUAAAAAGGAAGAAAAAUAAGAAAUUCUGUUAAAAUAAUUUCACUUGACCUGCAAUUUAGGUGUGUGGAGAUUCUCUCUCUAGUUCUUGCCCCUCAGAAAUUUUCUCCCACUAAAAUGGAAUUUCCAAGAGAAUUACUAUUUCCCAUCUCAGUGGUAUGUAAUUUCUAGAUAGAUUAUAACCUAAGUAUCCCACUUUCUAUUUCAGUCAAUUUCAGAGAGGCUGAAUAUGUCAUGCUCUCCUUCCAUUGGUUAGGCAUUCUAGUUUGCCUUUGUUUGCCUUUAGCUUUUUAGUACCUAUCUGAAAUGUAAAUGGAUUUGCUUUGCUAGCAUCCCUAGCCAAUGCCUAUCUUUGGCCUGACUGCUCCUGUGCUGCUUGUGGCUUUCCUCCUAAAAACAAACACCAAUUAUUCAGGCCUCUGCCAUGUUCCCUUGUUGGCAGUCCACAUAAUUCUAUUUUGCAUAUGUGCAGCUGAUGCUUUUAUAAAAGCUCUCUAUACUCUCUAAAGUGUUUGAUGCGCUGCAGGACAACAAAAGCUCCCUGAAGGGAGCUGAAAAGCUCCCUUUAAACCCUAUAUACACGUGUCUGCAUAGUAGUCUUUGAGAGGAAAACUGGAAUUAUUUUAAAGAAAGCACAGCGGUCCUGGGCCAAAAGCUUUUUCCUAACUCAUCUAAAUUUAGUUUCCGUGACCUCUCAAACACUUCUUUGUGCUCUUGGUGUCAGGACCACAAGCAUCUCCCUACCACUAACUACCAUUUUCUCUAAAUGUAUCAUGUGAACUGUCAUCUUCACAGCUGGUCACCAAGCUGCUGAACAGCUCUCAUGGUUGCUGCACACACAGGUAUAGUAUUUCGAUGACCAGAUCUCCUACCGUUACAGCUUGUUGACAUCUCACAGUCGUAUGCCUGUCUCCUAGAGGGACCGCUUAGAUAUGUAAUUGCUCUUCUCUGCAAUGUUCGGUCUCUCAGUGUUUCACUAUCCCCAAAUCUCCUUUCAUCUUAAAAAGAUUUAUCCCUUCUUUAUUAUUUCAGAACAACUUGUUAUAUUUAUUCCACUUUACUCCCAUCUGCUGGUCAAACAAAGCCGGCACAUAUAAACCACUAACUGCAGAUGAGUGACUUGCAGAGAAAAGCAACUACUUCCUGCUUUUUUAAGAUGAGUAGCCAAACUACUUGAUGGAUCAACUGAGAUGACUUGAUUUAAAGAAAAAAAAAAAAGGAAGAGGAAGGAGAAAGUACUUUUAAAGAUAUGGUUGAACAUACAUUCACUUUUACACGGCUUAAAUUUUGCUGUACACUCUUAUUUCUCAAAUUAAUCAGCACCUCUUAUGCUUAGAAAAAAAUAGCUUGCACUGAAAAAGUUGCUGCUUAUAGUUCUAAAAAUUUAGUAACUAAACAAUUAGCCUCUUCUUCUGCCCUCCUUAAUUUCCUAUUUUCAUUUUGGGCAUGUUUUAAUAAUUUCCUGAUGUGCAGCAUUAAUUAAUGUUGCUUUUUGCUGAGUCUCACCUAGAAAUACUUCAAAAGGGUACAUCUUCAUCAUUCUUCUUUUAAAAUAAGAAAAAUGUCUGGACACUUGCUUGAAGUAUCUCAUUGAUACUAGCAUUUUACUUUGCUUCCAAGAACAAGGCAAAGCACUGUAGGGACCAAUUAGAAACUGCUGAGAAAUCCUGUCAAAAUGAAGGGCUGACAGCUGAAAAUCCUAAAUCUGAUGGACUGCCUCGCAGGUGGCAUGGAAGAUGGCUCUACCCCUAAGCAACCUUUAGUCUCCAAAAGAGAAAGGAAAGGUCUUUCUCUUUCAGUCAGCUGUAUCAGUCUGUCCAUAUCCAACAGUCCCCUUUUCUUUUCUGCCCUCUAGUGACCAACCACGCAGGUUUCAAAAGAAACUAUUUGGGUACACUCUUUAAAAAUACAUUCAUGUAUUAUUCAGCCAAGUCAUGCCACUAAUUUAAAUAUGCUACGUAGAAGAGGCUAUUGGUAUAUCACGAUUUACACUAAAAAAAUGGCAGUCAAAUGUUUCUGAGCUGUUGGCAGGCAAGCUUCUUGGGCGGUGCUAAUAAUAGAUGGGUUAUAACCCCUGCUUCCUCUGGAAAAGUCCUCACCAGAAGGGUGGGCAUAUAUUUCAGCUACAGUGUUCUAAAUUUACAGUUUUCUAAAAAAAAAAAAAAAAAAAGAAAGAAUGAAAUUUGCAUAUUAUUUUCUCAUAAAAUAAAUAAAAAUAUAAACAAAAUAAAAACUAGAUU
ensembl:lncRNA